rnacentral:tRNA from 1 species
AGUAAUAUGCCAGAUAAAUGGGGCACAUUGAUAGUGUGUUUAUGACGUAGUUCUAUUACUA